UACGGGGGGGGUAAGCGUUGUUCGGAAUUACUGGGCGUAAAGGGCUCGUAGGCGGCCGUUUAAGUCAGACGUGAAAGCCCUCAGCUUAACUGGGGAACGGCGUCUGAGACUGAAGGGCUUGAAUCCGGGAGAGGGAUGCGGAAUUCCAGGUGUAGCGGUGAAAUGCGUAGAUAUCUGGAGGAACACCGGUGGCGAAGGCGGCAUCCUGGACCGGUAUUGACGCUGAGGAGCGAAAGCCAGGGGAGCAAACGGG
rnacentral:rRNA from 1 species